rnacentral:lncRNA from 10 species
GCUUCUAGUGGAAGGGAGAUGGGGUGUUGGACCAUAACCUUGAGAACAGAAACCAAAGAUGAUUCCAGUCUGUGAUAUGUAAAAAGAGAGGAUGCCAGGGAACAGAAAGUGAGUCGUGGAGGGCUACUCUGGAGAGAAUGGCAGAGAAGGCCUCUGAUGAGGAGAUGCUACACUGAACUCUGAAGGAUGAAAAGGGCCUGAAGGUAUUCCUGUCUCUGAGACUGUGUUCUCACAUCACUCCCCUGACCUUCAUGGAUGUUGGUUCUUCUCCAUGAGUCUGGAUCAAGGCCCACUUUCUCCCUGAAGCCUCCCCAGAUAUGCCAACCAUCCAGCACUUGGGCUAUGCUGCUCCAUCAUGUGUGCACACUCUUGUGCCUUGCCUCUUUGAGAUACUGUGAGCUCUUCAAGGUCAAGAGACCACGUCGUGUACCUUUCCAUA